rnacentral:rRNA from 1 species
UACGUAGGGGGCUAGCGUUGUCCGGAUUUAUUGGGCGUAAAGAGCUCGUAGGCGGUUCGGUAAGUCGGGUGUGAAAACUCUGGGCUCAACCCGGAGAGGCCACUCGAUACUGCCGUGACUUGAGUCUGAUAGGGGAGCACGGAAUUCCUGGUGUAGCGGUGAAAUGCGCAGAUAUCAGGAGGAACACCGGCGGCGAAGGCGGGUCUCUGGGCCGUAACUGACACUGAGGAGCGAAAGCGUGGGGAGCGAACAGG